rnacentral:rRNA from 1 species
ACCACUUACGGGAGNCAGCAGUGGGGAAUAUUGCACAAUGGGCGGAAGCCUGAUGCAGCAACGCCCGCGUGCGGGAUGACGGCCUUCGGGUUGUAAACCGCUUUCGCCUGUGACGAAGCGUGAGUGACGGUAAUGGGUAAAGAAGCACCGGCUAACUACGUGCCAGCAGCCGCGGUGAUACGUAGGGUGCGAGCGUUGUCCGGAUUUAUUGGGCGUAAAGGGCUCGUAGGUGGUUGAUCGCGUCGGAAGUGUAAUCUUGGGGCUUAACCCUGAGCGUGCUUUCGAUACGGGUUGACUUGAGGAAGGUAGGGGAGAAUGGAAUUCCUGGUGGAGCGGUGGAAUGCGCAGAUAUCAGGAGGAACACCAGUGGCGAAGGCGGUUCUCUGGGCCUUUCCUGACGCUGAGGAGCGAAAGCGUGGGGAGCGAACAGGCUUAGAUACCCUGGUAGUCCACGCUGUAAACGGUGGGUACUAGGUGUGGGGUCCAUUCCACGGGUUCCGUGCCGUAGCUAACGCUUUAAGUACCCCGCCUGGGGAGUACGGCCGCAAGGCUAAAACUCAAAGGAAUUGACGGGAAUC